UACAGAGGGUGCGAGCGUUGUUCGGAAUUACUGGGCGUAAAGCGCGCGCAGGCGGCCCUUUAAGUCCGUCGGUCAAAUGCCGGGGCUCAACCCCGAUGCAUGCCGAGGAUACUGGAGGGCUGGAGACACGUAGAGGCAAGCGGAAUUCCGGGUGUAGCGGUGGAAUGCGUAGAGAUCCGGAAGAACACCGGAGGCGAAGGCGGCUUGCUGGGCGUGAUCUGACGCUGAGGCGCGAAAGCUAGGGGAGCGAACAGG
rnacentral:rRNA from 1 species